rnacentral:rRNA from 1 species
GACGAACGCUGGCGGCGUGCUUAACACAUGCAAGUCGAGCGGUAAGGCCCUUUCGGGGGUACACGAGCGGCGAACGGGUGAGUAACACGUGGGUGACCUGCCCUCAGCUCUGGGAUAAGCCUGGGAAACCGGGUCUAAUACUGGAUAUGACUCCAUGACGCAUGUUGUGGGGUGGAAAGCCUUGUGCGGCUGAGGAUGGGGCCCGCGGCCUAUCAGCUUGUUGGUGGGGGGAUGGCCUACCAAGGCGACGACGGGUAGCCGGCCUGAGAGGGCGACCGGCCACACUGGGACUGAGACACGGCCCAGACUCCUACGGGAGGCAGCAGUGGGGAAUCUUGCGCAAUGGGCGAAAGCCUGACGCAGCGACGCCGCCGUGAGGGA